rnacentral:rRNA from 1 species
CAUUCUUGGUCAUUUAGAGGAAGUAAAAGUCGUAACAAGGUCUCCGUUGGUGAACCAGCGGAGGGAUCAUUACGGAGUUACCGCUCUAUAACCCUUUGUGAACAUACCUAACUGUUGCUUCGGCGGGCAGGGGGUGCCGCCUGCGGACCCCCCUCCCGGCCCUGCCCUCACGGGCGGAGCGCCCGCCGGAGGAUACCAAACUCUAUUUUAACGACGUUUCUUCUGAGUGGCACAAGCAAAUAAUUAAAACUUUCAACAACGGAUCUCUUGGUUCUGGCAUCGAUGAAGAACGCAGCGAAAUGCGAUAAGUAAUGUGAAUUGCAGAAUUCAGUGAAUCAUCGAAUCUUUGAACGCACAUUGCGCCCGCCAGCAUUCUGGCGGGCAUGCCUGUUCGAGCGUCAUUUCAACCCUCAAGCUCUGCUUGGUGUUGGGGCCCUACGGUUGACGUAGGCCCUUAAAGGUAGUGGCGGACCCUCUCGGAGCCUCCUUUGCGUAGUAACUAACGUCUCGCACUGGGAUUCGGAGGGACUCUUGCCGUAAAACCCCCAAAUUUUUAAAGGUUGACCUCGGAUCAGGUAGGAAUACCCGCUGAACUUAAGCA